rnacentral:tRNA from 1 species
UCCCUGAUAGCUCAGUUGGUAAAGAAUCUGCCUGCAAUGCAGGAGACCCUGGUUUGAUUCCUGGCUUGGAAA